CACGAGCUUAGCCCUCACUUCCUCUGCGGAUAGGUCAAAUCCUGCUCUUCACAGGACCUUCCUCCCCACUGACAGCGGUUUACAACCCGAAGGCCUUCAUCCCGCACGCGGCGUCGCUCGGUCAGACUUGCGUCCAUUGCCGAAGAUUCUCGACUGCAGCCACCCGUAGGUGUCUGGGCAGUGUCUCAGUCCCAAUGACGCGGGUCGUGCUCUCACACCCGCUACCCAUCGAUGCCUUGGUGGGCCGUUACCCGCCAACUAGCUAAUAGGAUAUAGACUCAUCCCCAGGCGGAUUCACACCUUUGAUCCGAAGAUGUCAUCAGGUAUUACCGGCUAGUUUCCCGCCGCUAUCCCUGUCCUGAGGGCAGAUAAUCUAUACAUUACUGUCCCUUUCGCCGCUGAUGUAUUGCUACACCGCGCGACUUGCAUGACCUAUCCACGCCGCCAACGUUCAUUCUGAGCCAGGAUACAAACUCUCUACG
rnacentral:rRNA from 1 species